ensembl:processed_transcript Tctn2 tectonic family member 2
AAUAUGGCGUCGGCGGAUCGGCGAAGGCCGCUACUUUUUCUCUUCUAGGCUAUUCUGGGUUUCUGAGGCAGGCCGGCCCGGGUAUGGGCUCUCUGUCACCGCUCAGCCUCCUGUGGGGACUCCUCCUGCUGCAGGGCGUCCUGAGGCCGCUGCGCGGGGACCCGGUUUUCAUCCCACCUUUCAUCCGGAUGUCCAGCCCUGAGGUCCGAGCGACCCUGGUCGGAGGCAGCGAGGAUGUCGCCGUGUCUCUGAGUCUGCUGCAGGUCGAGGAAGGAGUGUUGCCAGUUCCUACUUGUGGCGGCCGCCGCAAUGAGACAGCGGAUUGGAAUGUGACUGUGAGCCCCCGAGAGAGCAUGCUGGAAGUGACCAUAAGGUGGAAGAGGGGUCUAGACUGGUGCUCCGCAGAUGAGACAGCCUCAUUCUCAGAGCCCCCGUGCGUCCUGCAGACGCUGCUGGUUUCAGCCUCCCACAAUGCAUCCUGCUUAGCACAUCUGCUCAUCCAGGUGGAGAUUUAUCCCAACACAUCUGUAACCCACAACGCAUCAGAGAACAUGACUGUCAUUCCUAACCAAGUCUAUCAGCCCCUGGGUCCCUGCCCGUGUGACUUAACAGCCAAGGCCUGUGACAUUCAAUGCUGCUGUGACCAGGACUGUCAGCCAGAAGUAAGAGAGCUGUUUGCACAGUCCUGCUUCUCCGGCGUAUUUGGAGGGCACGUCAGCCCUCCGUCCCAUCAUCACUGCGCUGUCAGCACUACUCACCAGACUCCUGACUGGUUUCCCCUCCUGUGUGUGCAGUCGCCACCCUCUACCUCGCCGUUCCUUGGUCACUUCUACCACGGUGCCACUUCCCCCAGACAUUCCCCCGGCUUUGAAGCCCAUUUGCACUUCGACCUAAGAGACUUCGCGGAUGCCAGUUACAAGCAAGGAGAUCCCAUUAUGACCACGGAGGGGUAUUUUACCAUCCCCCAGGUGUCUCUAGCUGGGCAGUGUCUACAGGAUGCUCCUGUGGCUUUCCUGAGGAAUUUUGACAGUGUAUGUACCAUGGACCUGGAAGUGCACCAAGGACGAGAUGAAAUUGUCCUCGAGAACAUGAAAAUCCACACAACAGGAGGUCCGGUCACACCAACAGUAACCUAUGAGGAAGCCAUUGACCUGGACAAGUUCAUCACCAGCCCGGACACAGUUUUAAGUGUCGGAUCGGCCCCCAGAAACGUGAAUGUGGAAGAACAUUAUGUCUUCAGAUGGCAAAAUAAUUCCAUCAGCGGCCUAGACAUCACAGUCAUCAGGGCAGAAAUCAGUGCCCAGCAGAGAGGAAUGAUGACCCAGAGAUUCACAGUGAAGUUUUUAAGCCAUCACAGUGGUGGUGAGAAGGAAUUUUCUGGAAAUCCAGGUAGGAUGAAUGACAGUGCUGCUCUUCUACACAGAUCUUAGGGUGGCAUCCUGAGCUGCCCCAUGGCCAUGAGGAACUGUCUUGAGUUGUGUUUGUCUCUGUGACCAGUUUCCUUAUUUCCUUACCCCAUGACAAUCCACUUUCUCCUGUGGCAGAUUUAUACUUUUUUUUUUUCUUUUUUUUGNNNNNNNNNNNAGACAGGGUUUCUCUGUAUAGUCCUGGCUGAUCCUGGAACUCACUCUGUAGACCAGGCUGGCCUCAAACUCAGAAAUCCACCUGCCUCUGCCUCAGAUUUAUACUUUAAUAUACAAUGGUGCUUUGCAUGCAAAUUUUAUUCUCUUUGGCCUUUGGUCUUCUAUUCUUAUAUUUCGUGGGUUGGUUUGAUUUUCUUUCUUUCUUUCUUUCUUUCUUUCUUUCUUUCUUUCUUUCUUUCUUUUCUUUUUUCGAGACAGGGUUUCUCUGUGUAGCCCUGGCUGUCCUGGCACUCACUCUGUAGACUAGGCUGGCCUCGAACUCAGAAACGCGCCUGCCUCUGCCUCCCAAGCGCUGGGAUUAAAGGCGUGCGCCACCACUGCCUGGCUCAUAUGGCUUUUCUAUGUAGCUAGCCAUGGCUGUCCUGGAACUCUCUCUGUGGACUAGAGAUCUGUUUGCCUCAGUCUCCCAGUACUGGGGUUAAAGACUUGUGCCACCAUGCCUGGCUGUUUUGUGAUGGUUUUGUUGUUAUUGUUUUGCUUUAACUUUUUUUCAGUGAUUUAUUUUUAUUUUAUAUACCUUGGUGUUUUGCCUGCAUGUGUGUCUGUUGGAUCCCCCUGGAACUGGAAUAGUUGAGUGCUUAUGUAUGUGUUGCGGAUGGAACCCAGGGCCUCUGGAAGAGCAGCCACUGCUCUUAACUGCUGAGGCAUCUCUCCAGCCCCUUGUUUAAAAAUUAUAUUUAUUUAUUUAUGUGUGUGUGUGUGUUCAUGCACAUGUGCCACUUGUGUGCAGGUGCCAUGAGGAUCAGAGGAGGGUGUGAGAUUACACAGAUUAAGAGUUCCAAGCAGUUGUGGAGCACCCAGCAUGGGUGCUGGGAACCAGUCUUGGAUCCUCUGGAAGAGCAGCAAGUAACCGUUGAGCCAUCUCUCUGGCUCCUGGGAGAUUUUUGGUUUUGUUUUGUUUUUGAGAUGUGGUGUUUGUGUGUAGCUAAGGUUGGCCUCGAACUCUUGAUUUUAUGCCUUCCCUCACCCUCAGAGUAGCUAGGAUUAAAGGCACGGUACUACUACCACCUGGUGCCAUUGGCCAUUUAAGAAACCUGGUACUGUUGUUAUGGGCCACGGUCCUCUGAGUUGCCAUUACUACCUCAGUCAGAGCAACUGCAGCUGACUGUAUCUACGAGAGACCCCCAACAAGGUCAGGCCUGUUCCACCCCCAGCUGUGUGUGAGAUUGGGAGGUACCGCCCAACAGGAAAUCACCGCCAACGCUGGGUGGGAUUCUCAGUGAUGCUGCUGUCCUACAGUCAUCCACACUCCUGUGAGCUAGCCCACCAGUGCAUUGGGCUUGUGUCUCCUGACUGCAAUCAUUUGUCUCGCCCCAGGAAAGGCUAACACCAGCUUUCUAUUCAUUUAUCUGCUCAUUUCACCAUCUUUUUUUGCCUCUCGGUGCCUGUUACGUCCCAUGGGACCGCUCAGCACUUGAGAAGUGGUAAUAUUUAUAUGGUAAUAUUUUGGAUAAGCUGCAAUAAAUAAAAUACAUUAGGAGAGGCUGGUAUCCAGGAAUGGUGGUUAAUACGGCCUGAUAUAGAAAUGGGAUGGAGACCCUGAUUGGUUCCUGCUGUGUAGCACUGGCACUAAACCACACCUGGGGAUGGAGAGGGUGGUGUGGAUGUGCACCGAGCAGGCCCUGGCUGUAGGAGUUGUUUUGGGAAAUGUUGGUGCUGUUGCUAGGGAGAUGGCACAGCCUUCAGUGUAAGUGGUUUGCGUUGUGAGCUUCCUCCACACCUCAAGAACUGUGGUUACACAUGGGUUCCACCACGCCUGGCUAAGAAGUUAAUAAGUC